CCAAACGGAACUGCUAUCUUCACUUCUACCACCACGGAUUAGUUCUGUAAGGCAAAUUUGGAACUUCUCUUUGCCUCAGUUUCCUCAUCUGUAAAUUGGUGAUAAUAUCUGUCUCAUAAACUAGCUGUACAAUGAAAUGCCAGGCACUGGGCUAAGCAUCUGUGACCUUGUUUAAUCCUCCAUGUAACCGGAUGGGGGAGGUAUUAUCUUGGCUCUACAGAGGUUAAGCAAUCUGUUCACACUGGGAUUCGUGCCAGGCCUGCCUGGAGCCUGUACUCGUAGAGGCCUGACCCUCAUCUAAUUGAUCCGAAUUCCCUGAAAGACUGGAAACCUAAUAUUCAGAGUGCUGCCAGGAAGAAGCCCGGGAUUCUGAACUGCCUUCGGCCAGAGAGAACUGCCCGCUUCAUCCUGCAGCAGCCUUCCGUCUGAGGUCUCGCCUUUGCCAGCCUGUGUGAGAAAUUACUCCGAGACCACAAUCUUCCGUGGGCAUCCCACGUCCCUGCGGAUUCCGUCUCCCAAGGCCCUGCUUAGCCAGAGACCACAGACACCAAACACUGCUGCCCCGGGUGCCACAUUCUCCCUUGCCUCCUUCUUCUGAUGGAACUCUGGCCCCUCCUUCCCAUGUGGGGACCACCUGCAGGAAGGCCGCCCCAAUCCCUGCAUCGCUCUCAUGUCCAGCUGCCCAGCAGACAUCACUGCCCAGGCUGGUCACUCGUGGAUCUGUUCAUCUCCGGCACUUUGCACAGGGAUUGUAUAUGCUCAACAGAUGGUGGUGGAAUGGACGCACACCCCCCCAUCCAAAAAUCUGGUAAAACUGCACUCACUUUGUGAGUGUGCCGUGAAGAAGAGCUGCGUUCCUGAAGCAUCAUUACCAGUGACUGCAGUCAGAUUUGAAAAAUGGAUCCUGGCGGCAAGCCACCCUUCCCAGCUGUCUGACCACACCAACCAGCCAAUCAAGGCUCAAAGGAAGUCAGAAGCAGAGGAAUCUGUUUUUGGAUCAUCCAGUACAACUCCUUCUCUUGAGACGCAGAGGCGGCGUCGGAGACAGGAAACACGCCGAAGGGCGCGCAGCAGACGGAAAGGGCCCAGGCACACGGCUGCCCCCCCGCUGCCCUUACCCUCUGCACCUCGUACCACCUCUCCAUGAAGGACAGCGUGUUUAACGUUCCAUAGGAUGCAAUGAAGAAACAGGUACUAAAUUGGCAGAAAUCACAUGCAUAUAAAUCUGACAUUCUCCCUGGAAAGAGAAAAAGCGCAGCUCAAGAAAGAAUGUGUGAGCUGGAAGGUCUGCGCGAGGCCUCUGUCCAAACCCUCCAAUCAGUUUACAUGUGGGGAGAAGACGCCACCAAACCAAUUCUCCCAGGGAAGGACAAACUGUCAGAAUUACUGCUAAGACUUUGCAAAUAGGGAAAGUGGAAUGGGAAGAGAUUGCUCCCUUGGUCUUCCUCUCUUCACCAGCUUCCUGCCAGGGGAAACUCAGCGCCAUACUGCCUGAAGUGCACGAAGCUGAGCGUCACAGGGCGUUUAACAGGCACCUGCUUUCAGCAGUGGAUGCAGGCUGGCGGGCUGCAGGGACCAGGGCAGCCCCGGGAGUGGGG